ensembl:lncRNA
GAAUUGUUUUUAUUGUGGGGAGGAAUGUUAGCCUUUCAAAGACACUUUGGCAUACUACAAACUGGAAGGCAUAAUCUCAUUCCAUGAGCCUCAGAGAAUACAAAGAUUAUAGUUGAAAUGCUUAACAAGAACAAUUGAAGAGAUGUAGUAAAAGUUAAAAUUCAAUUUUGUCUUCUGCCUCUGCAAAAUUUAUUUCAGUGGGAGAGGUUUUCCUCUGAUCUGGAUUAAAAAUUACAGCAUCCCCCUAAUAUUAUCUUUAGGUAACAGUCUUGAAAUUAGUUUUUUUGUUUGUUUUUGUUUUUUGUUUUGUUUUGUUUUGUUUAUUUGUCUUUUUGUCAGAGGGGACUGCAGUUACUUCCAAGAUGUAGCUGUCUGCUCUGUGCGUGCAGGCUCUGUGGUUAGCCAGCCUUAGCCUUGAAACUCCUCUACCAUGAGUCAUGCAGUCUAAUGAUCACCUCCUACCCAGGAACAAAUAGCAAAUGCUUCAGUGGCCCCGCCCCUCUUUCUAGGCUUGAGGAGAGAGACAUAUUCCUCACCUCGUCUCCUGAUUAGAUGUGGCUUAUGACCCUGUAGUAGCUUUCUCCAAAGAAAUCUCUUUUGUAAACCCUAUCCCCACUUUUUAUACCCUUGUAAUGAGUGAGAGAGUUCAAGAAUUGUGGAACUGGUCCGUGGUAAUUUCCUUUAAAACUUUGCAUUUCUGUCUGGUAUCUCCCUUUGGAAUUUCAUUUCUAUUAUAUCUUGGUACCCCAGCUGAAACAUCCAAUUAAAAUCUAAUUAAGAGUAAAAGAUCAUCUCCUUUUUUUGGUCUUUUUUCCUUUCCUAGGGCCGCUCCCCGUGGCAUAUGGAGGUUCUCAGACUAGGGGUCUAAUCGGAGCUGUAGCCACCGGCCUAUGCCAGAGCCACAGCAACAUGGGAUCUGAACUGAAUCUGUGACCUACACCACAGCUCACGGCAAUGCCGGAUCCUUAACCCACUGAGAAAGGCCAGGGAUCGAACCUGAAACCUCAUCGUUCCUAGUUCAGAUACGUUAACCACUGUGCCACGACAAGGACUCCAAAGAUCAUCUCCUUUAUCAGUCUUGUUUUACAUCCUUCCCCAUUCCCUACCUUUGAGUCUAUGUGGUUUAGUCAUAUGUCACAGGCCAAGUCAUAGGCAGUCAUCAAGUUGGUCUGAUAUGGUCUGGUCAUGUCUCCCUUUAGUAAUAAAAAAGCCAAACCAAGGCCUCAUACCCCCUACAAUGAUCCUGAUGACCAUGAGAGGGAAAGCUCAGGACUCCCUCUUGGCUCCAAACUUAGUUCUUCAUGAGGGGUACAUAAACCAUUGUGCUUUGGUAUGGGGGGGGCAGCCAUGAAAUUUGGAGUCUAUUACCAAAUUACCUUAGAUAAAUUACCUUUCUGAGCUUCAUUUAAAGUUUGUAAAAUAGCCUUACCUUCUAAUUCAAAAUUUAAUUAAUUAAUUUAAAAAAUUUUUGCUCUUUUUAAGGUCACACCAGUGGCAUAUGGAAGUUCCUAGGCUAGGGGUCAAAUUGGAACUGUAACUGCCAGUCUACACCACAGCCACAGCAACUUGGGAUCCAAGCCUCAUCUGUGACCUCUACUGUAGCUCAUAGCAAUGCCUGAUCCUCAACCCACUGAGUGGGGCCAGGGAUUGAAUCUGCAUCCUCAGGGAUACUAGUCAGGUUUGUCACCACUGAGCUACAAUGGGAACUCCUCAAAAUUUAAUUUUUAUUCAUGUGUUAAUUAACAAUUAACAAUAUAAAAAUACUCAUUGUAACAAAGCAAAAUGUUACAGAUGAGACUAACUUUCCUUUGAAUUUUACCUUCAGUCCCAUUCCCCUAACUCCCUUUCAGAUGUAGCCAAAAUUCUCAGUUUAGAAUUUAUCUUUCCAGUCCUUUUUCAAUCAAAUCUGUUUUUUUUUUUAACUUGUAAAAAUAGGAUAGUAAUAUCUAUUCUGUGAAGCAGAACAGAGGUGAAAAUGCAAGGUGCAUGUUUUAUUUCCUCAGUGUGUUGAGAGGAACUGAGACUUCCUGCAGGAAAUUAGCUCUAUGGUAAAUUCAAACUGAAGAAGAGAAAUCUUCUCUAUUUCCAGAGAUAGAAUUACCUGCUAUCUGGUAUUAGAACAUUCCAAUUUUUUGUUUCUUUUUUUUCCAAAAAUAUUCAAAGACAUCAUGCACAGAUUCUCCUGUAGGAACAAGCCUGAGCCUGUUACCCUGACACAGCCAGCCUCUUGGGUAGGAGUUUGCUGGGGAAGGGUAGCCAGAACCAAAGGCCCAUAGAGCAUUGUGCCUCCUUUAUACUCUUCCAUUCAGCCAGGAAAUGAUGGUUUUAUGUCCUGUGUCUUUUCUUUCCCAUGGCUUUCAUUUCAAACUGCAGAAAGGAAGAGAUCAUAUACCCAGAUUUGUCUUCCUAAAACAGCUUUCCAGUGAGUACAACAAAGGCAAAACCAUAGCAAUCCUCCCUUUCCACGCAAUUCUGCUCUUCUAUCAUUUCACAGGAUAAGCAACACUUCCACAAUAGUUUUUUUCUACUAUCAAGGAAGAAGCACGAGCCAAGAUAUCCAAAGGAACCAGUGGCUAGUUCCUAGGUGUCCCGGAGAAGGCUUUUAUUUUAGCAUAAGAACACAUUCCAUUUAUUGAGCAUGUACUUUGCCAGCCAUGAUACGAGUUUCUUUACAUAUCUCUAAUUUAAUUCUAACAAGAGCCAUAUAAGGUUCGUAUUAUAAUUAUCCUCAUAUUAAGGACUAAGCUGCAAAAAGUUACGUAAUUCUCUUAAACUGUGACUUCCUGGAGUUCCUAUCGUGGCUCAGCGGUUAGCUAAACUGACUAGCAUCCAUGAGGAUGCAGGUUCGAUCCCUGGCCUUGCUCAGUGGGUUAAGGAUCCAGCGUUGCUGUGAGCUGUGGUAUAGGUCGAAGACGCGGCUUGGAUCUGGCAUUGCUGUGGCUGCAGUAUAGGCUGGCGGCUACAGUUCCGACUGGAUCCCUAGCUUGAGAACCUCCAUAUGCCAAGGCUGUGACCCUAAAAAAGACAAAAAGACCAAAAAUCAAAACAAAACAAAAACCUGUGACUUCCUGAGGCAAAGGAAAUGUUGAAGAACAGUACAGGUCAGUGAGAAUUGUCAUCUGGGAAUGAGAAGCAUGGAAAUGUGGGAGGAAUAGAAGAGGUGGGGUAGCAGCAAAUUAAGAGAAAGAAAAAUGCAUGUCCCAGGAAGAACUGCCAUUCACCCCCAUUGCUCAGCUUGAGACUUGCUCUAGGGGUGUGUGUGUGUGUGUGUGUGUGUGUGUGUGUGUGUAAACAAAUCUUCAUAGCAACCAUCUGUCUUUCUAUGACAACACAGGCCUGCAGUGUCUAAAUAUGGGCCCUGGUGAGUAUGAGUAUGGGCUGGAGAGGAGAAGUAGGACUGCUGAGUCAAGGGGAAAUUGUGCAGAAAGGGCAGAUUCUUUUGGUAUGUCCUCAUCUCUUCCUCACAGCCCACCCUCAAGGUAGGAAAAGGGCUUAAAGUCCUGCUCUCUCCUUGAUUC